rnacentral:rRNA from 1 species
UGCCAGACUCCUACGGGAGGCAGCAGUGGGGGAUAUUGCACAAUGGGGGGAACCCUGAUGCAGCGACGCCGCGUGGGUGAAGGAGCGUUUCGGCGCGUAAAGCCCUAUCGGCAGGGAAGAAGGAGGACGGUACCUGACUAAGAAGCCCCGGCUAACUACGUGCCAGCAGCCGCGGUAAUACGUAUGGAGCAAGCGUUAUCCGGAUUUACUGGGUGUAAAGGGAGCGCAGGCGGCCUUGCAAGUCUGAUGUGAAAGGCCGGGGCCCAACCCCGGGACUGCAUUGGAAACUGCGGGGCUGGAGUGUCGGAGAGGCAGGCGGAAUUCCUAGUGUAGCGGUGAAAUGCGUAGAUAUUAGGAGGAACACCAGUGGCGAAGGCGGCCUGCUGGACGAUGACUGACGCUGAGGCUCGAAAGCGUGGGGAGCAAACAGGAUUAGAUACCCCUGUA